rnacentral:lncRNA from 1 species
UGACAUGGAAAUCAAGAUGCCAUUGGCAUGCAACCAAAACCAAACCCAUAGAUUUCUUGAAGAGGCAAAUAUAUCAUCGCUGCUAUUUUCAAGCAUCAUUGAGUCAUUUGUGAGAUUAGACGCAACAUAUAUUCCAUAGUUAGCACUUUCAUCGUAAUUUUCUUCUUCGACUUUGCACUGGGACUUGUGGCGAGAUCUUGCAAGAGGGAGGAGAGAGAAUCGACCAUUUCAUUAGAGCUUACUCAUCCAAAACGAGUGUCACUAAGUAAAGCUUGUUUAAUGUUUUCCAUUACAUUCCAAAAUUUUGGUGUCAUGUCCGAUGGCACAACUCCAGUAGUUACUUGGUCUGAAAAAUAGCUUCCUAUUCAACCAACAUCAAAGGUUCAUAGUUAUUGUCCAACACGUCUGGAGAGUAUUGUAGAAAAUACCUCAUGUUCAAACAACAUCAAAGGUUUGGUCACUUAAAAACCAGGACCAAUGUUUUCAGGAUCUCAAAAUUGUUGAGUCAAGUAAAUAUAAGGACUAUAGUCCAUGCCCAGAGGUUUUAACAUGAAAUUUCCAUUGAAUGAAAAACAUAUCUCUAUAUAUUAAAAGAGGGACUUCAUCUUGGCACUGGUUAUAUAUAGGAAUGCAUGCCUUUUUUUUUUUUUUUUUUUUUUUUUGGGAUUUACCGGUUUGACUAUUUUUAAUUUUUUCCUUUCUUAUACUCUUUUUACACAUUUUUUCCGACGAACCCUAGCAGUCGACUCUCCCGAAACUUCUCCCUCCUCUUGCGUCACAUCCUUUGUUUUUGCCCUAAUCUGCCCACUAAUUCAGAGAUAAAGUAGGCAGCGGAUGCUAGAUCUUCUUCCACCAUAGAUGUAGUUACGAAUAAUUCAUGGAAAGUAAUAGGAAUUAGACUAGACAAAGUCUUCAACCGGUUCACAUCGAGUUCUUUGGUUACGGGUUUGGGUUCGGUGGAUCUAUGCAAUCCCAAUUGCAGCUGCCACAUAUUUGCGAACGUUUUGGUAGGAUUCAUGAAAAUGGUGGUUUAGACAGCUGAGGAGAUUGUGUGACUGAGGGUAGAAAGUCAAAGCUGUGUUUGUGGUGGAUGGAGCUGUCUGUUUUGUGUUUGUUUUCUUGGUUCUAUUUCUUCUUCCUUUUUUAAUUUUGCAGAAAAUUGAUUAAUAACGAAGGCCUCAAAUUUUGUUUUUUAAAAUUUUCUUACAAGGAACCAUUUCUUGGAAGCAUGUUUGGUUGAAUGUUAAUUUUUGGUAUUUAAUGGUGCACUCUCUCUUCCCUAAUGAAAAAACCAUUAAGUUUUUAAAUGUGAGAUUACCAAUUUCAUUUUUAUUUAAUCAAUGUAGAUGGAAGUAAACUUAAGUGUUCUAAGUUCAUUGUUACAGCUGUGAAAUAGAACUUCGAGCCUCGCGUUCAUAGUAUCUGGGUCUUUUACUUAUUAUGUAGGGGAUAUGAUGCCUUGAUUUCUCAAUGCUCAUGAUCUUUCUUCUCCGGAUUUUUCUUUUUUCUUUUCUUCCAACAUCUUAUAUGCACUAAUUCAUGGGCUUUGUUGUUCUCUUUUAUUCUACGAGUCCAGCAACCUAAUCUUUUGUUUGUACUUUAUGGUUUAUGUUUCUCUUCAUAAGGCAAAUUUAUCUUAUGCAAGUAAGUUGUACAUCUGCUUGGUAUGAAGCUGUUGUGUUUAUUGUAGUCUAAAUUAGGAAAAAACUUCAUUGGAUGUAUUUACUUCAAGUAUUUGUAAGAUGGUAUUACUUAUCAGGUGAUUUUCUUAAAUACGAUUUUAUAUAACUUGACUUCUUACCAGGUUUCAGUUCUUGAGUGGAUAAUUAUUUUUUAUGUCUUUGUCUGCCCCAUAAUUUUAAUGCUUAGUAUAUAGGAAUAGGCCAAUUCUUCGCAAAUUCGGAAGCUUCGGUGAGAAGGAAACUAAUGCUAAUGGUCUUUUAAUUAAGUACGCCUAAGAGAAAGCAAAGAAAAUUUGUGAAGCAAAUGUGGAUCCUUUGAAAGGUGCUACAAAUGGCAACGUUGCCAGUUCAAGCAUUUCUUCAAGCCCUAAUCGACAUAUUGCUAAUGGUGGCUAUCUAGAGUGAUCUCAUAACUGUUUGAAAAUUAACACAUCCUUUUCACCUGUAGGCAUUCCCUUGCUACGAUUACAAUGGUAGCUGUACUUAAACUAAGCCGUAGUUACGUUUGCAAUUUUUUUAGGAUCCAUCAAUUUUUGGGUGUGUUCGACAUCAGUGAAAAAUUUAUGUCCACUCUCUCUCAGUUUGAUGUAUUGUAUGAAAAUAAUCUAAUCACGACUGAUUAUUUAAAUUAGUUAUUUAGAAUGUGAAUAUCAUUUUUAAUUAUUGUCAACUGGUACCCAUUCUAAACGCACUUAAACAUUCGCUAUGAAUUUUCUCUACUAGUAUAUUUCUGUGAUUUUCUUGUAUAUUUGAAAUUGCUUAUUUGUUAUGACUUCUCUCCAAGAUUUUGAGCCUUGAAGCGUGGCUGAAUACAUACAUUAGUGCCUGAAUUGUGAGUUCAUAAAUCUGCAAGUUGACAUGGGCAAUCAAACGAAACCAGACCUAUAGAUUUCUUAAAGAGGCAAAUAUAUCGUCACUGCUAUUUUCAUGCAUCAUUGAAUCAUUUGCGAGAUUAGAUGCAACAUAUAUUCUAUAGUUAGCACUUUCAUCGUAAUUUUCUUUUCCCACUUUUGCACAGGAACCUGUGGCAGGAUCUUGCAAGAGAAAGGAGAGAGAAUCUACCUUUUUCAAUAGAGAUUUCUCGUCCAAAAUGGUCGUGCUUUGGGUGUCACUAAGUAAAUCUUGUUUAAUGUUUUACAUUACAUCCCAAAACUCUGAUGUCUUGUCUGAAGGCCCAAAUCCAGUAGUUUGUUCUGAAAUAUAGUUUCCAAUGUUGUUUUCUAGAUCAGAAAUCCACAUAGAUGGAUGGAGAUCUUGAACCUUCAGUUGUUCCCAGCUUCUUUGCUCCAAAAUAACCAUGCUCCUCACAAUUUCCAUCCGUUCAAUUGCAACAAUAGCCAUCACUAGUAACAGUAGAUAAUGCAAUUAUCAAAUUUUGGUUGAAAAUGAGUUCAAAAUUACGACUACAGCUAAAUAAUUUGCAAGAUCAACAUUCAGCAAUGCAUCCUAUAUGGAGAAAAGUUGAUAAGUAAAUUGUUGUAUUCACAAUGAAGAUGAAUGAUAUUGGACCAGAGCUAGAGGACAAGGUUUCUUCAGGCACGUGUUCAGCAGUCAGAUGAUUAAGAUUUUGUCCGAAACUUAAAGGAGGUGAUUGUGUGACUGCUGUUAAUUCUACAUCCUGGAAGCUAGAGGGAGAAUAUCCUUGAGUGACAGCCACUCGAUCAAAUUCACGACCUCUGGAUUCUUUUGGAUUUUCAAAAGUAGAAGCAUGUUCUGGUGAAUCUAUAACUAUCUCGAGUUGUUGGCUCAAAUUAUAAACAAGCCUGUCACGCUGGAUCAAUUUUUCAUAGUUAUUGUUCAACACGUCUGGAGAAUAUUGUAGAAAAUGCUUCCUAUUUAAACAACAUCAAAGGUUCGGUCACUCGAAAACCAAGAUAAAAGUUUUCAGGAUCUCAAAAUUAUUCAGUCAAGUAAUUAUGGUCAAA